rnacentral:rRNA from 1 species
UACGUAGGGUGCGAGCGUUUGUCCGGAAUUACUGGGCGUAAAGAGCUCGUAGGUGGUUUGUCGCGUUGUUCGUGAAAUCUCACGGCUUAACUGUGAGCGUGCGGGCGAUACGGGCAGACUGGAGUACUGCAGGGGAGACUGGAAUUCCUGGUGUAGCGGUGGAAUGCGCAGAUAUCAGGAGGAACACCGGUGGCGAAGGCGGGUCUCUGGGACAGUAACUGACGCUGAGGAGCGAAAGCGUGGGGAGCGAACAGG